rnacentral:rRNA from 2 species
ACGGAAGGCAGCAGUGGGGAAUAUUGCACAAUGGGGGAAACCCUGAUGCAGCGACGCCGCGUGAGUGAAGAAGUAUUUCGGUAUGUAAAGCUCUAUCAGCAGGAAAGAAAAUGACGGUACCUGACUAAGAAGCCCCGGCUAACUACGUGCCAGCAGCCGCGGUAAUACGUCGGGGGCAAGCGUUAUCCGGAUUUACUGGGUGUAAAGGGAGCGUAGACGGCUUUGCAAGUCUGAAGUGAAAGCCCGGGGCUCAACCCCGGAACUGCUUUGGAAACUGUAGAGCUAGAGUGCAGGAGAGGUAAGUGGAAUUCCUAGUGUAGCGGUGAAAUGCGUAGAUAUUAGGAGGAACACCAGUGGCGAAGGCGGCUUACUGGACUGUAACUGACGUUGAGGCUCGAAGGCGUGGGGAGCAAACAGGAUUAGAUACCCUGGUA